rnacentral:rRNA from 1 species
AACCUUUACACUGCACGCCAGUGCGAUAAGGGGAUCCCGAGUGCGCAGGCAUAGAGCCUGCGCUUUUCUGAACCGUAGGAAGGUUCAGGAACAAGAGCUGGGCAAGACCGGUGCCAGCCGCCGCGGUAAUACCGGCAGCUCGAGUGAUGGCCGAUCUUAUUGGGCCUAAAGCGUCCGUAGCUGGCCUUGCAAGUCCGUCGGGAAAUCCACCCGCUCAACGGGUGGGCGUCCGGCGGAAACUGCAAGGCUUGGGACCGGGAGGCUUGAAGGGUACGUCCGGGGUAGGAGUGAAAUCCCGUAAUCCUGGACGGACCGCCGAUGGGGAAACCACCUCAAGAGAACGGAUCCGACAGUGAGGGACGAAAGCUAGGGUCUCGAACCGGAUUAGAUACCCGGGUAGUCCUAGCUGUAAACAAUGCCUGCUAGGUGUGGCUCCCACUACGAGUGGGUGCUGUGCCGUAGGGAAGCCGCUAAGCAGGCCGCCUGGGAAGUACGUCCGCAAGGAUGAAACUUAA